ensembl:misc_RNA
AAGGAAGGAGAGGCUGUUUCUACAGGUGUCAUAGGAAAAUCGAUACUGAGCCACGGAUUAUUGGAUCCCGCAGAACCAUGGAGACUCGGCCCUGAAAUUCUUUCAAAGG